AGAGUUUGAUCCUGGCUCAGAUUGAACGCUGGCGGCAGGCUUAACACAUGCAAGUCGAGCGGUAGCACAAGAGAGCUUGCUCUCUGGGUGACGAGCGGCGGACGGGUGAGUAAUGUCUGGGAAACUGCCUGAUGGAGGGGGAUAACUACUGGAAACGGUAGCUAAUACCGCAUAACGUCGCAAGACCAAAGAGGGGGACCUUCGGGCCUCUUGCCAUCAGAUGUGCCCAGAUGGGAUUAGCUAGUAGGUGGGGUAAUGGCUCACCUAGGCGACGAUCCCUAGCUGGUCUGAGAGGAUGACCAGCCACACUGGAACUGAGACACGGCCCAGACUCCUACGGGAGGCAGCAGUGGGGAAUUUUGGACAAUGGGCGAAAGCCUGAUCCAGCAAUGCCGCGUGCAGGAUGAAGGCCCUCGGGUUGUAAACUGCUUUUGUACGGAACGAAAAGACUCUCUCUAAUAAAGAGGGUUGAUGACGGUACCGUAAGAAUAAGCACCGGCUAACUACGUGCCAGCAGCCGCGGUAAUACGUAGGGUGCGAGCGUUAAUCGGAAUUACUGGGCGUAAAGCGCACGCAGGCGGUUUGUUAAGUCAGAUGUGAAAUCCCCGGGCUCAACCUGGGAAUGGCAUUUGAGACUGCAUGGCUAGAGUGUGUCAGAGGGGGGUAGAAUUCCACGUGUAGCAGUGAAAUGCGUAGAGAUGUGGAGGAAUACCGAUGGCGAAGGCAGCCCCCUGGGAUAACACUGACGCUCGUGCACGAAAGCGUGGGGAGCAAACAGGAUUAGAUACCCUGGUAGUCCACGCCCUAAACGAUGUCUACUAGUUGUCGGGACUUAAUUGUCUUGGUAACGCAGCUAACGCGUGAAGUAGACCGCCUGGGGAGUACGGUCGCAAGAUUAAAACUCAAAGGAAUUGACGGGGACCCGCACAAGCGGUGGAUGAUGUGGAUUAAUUCGAUGCAACGCGAAAAACCUUACCUACCCUUGACAUGUACGGAACCUCUGAGAGAUUAGAGGGUGCUCGAAAGAGAGCCGUAACACAGGUGCUGCAUGGCUGUCGUCAGCUCGUGUCGUGAGAUGUUGGGUUAAGUCCCGCAACGAGCGCAACCCUUGUCAUUAGUUGCUACGAAAGGGCACUCUAAUGAGACUGCCGGUGACAAACCGGAGGAAGGUGGGGAUGACGUCAAGUCCUCAUGGCCCUUAUGGGUAGGGCUUCACACGUCAUACAAUGGUACAUACAGAGGGCCGCCAACCCGCGAGGGGGAGCUAAUCCCAGAAAGUGUAUCGUAGUCCGGAUUGUAGUCUGCAACUCGACUACAUGAAGUUGGAAUCGCUAGUAAUCGCGGAUCAGCAUGUCGCGGUGAAUACGUUCCCGGGUCUUGUACACACCGCCCGUCACACCAUGGGAGCGGGUUUCACCAGAAGUAGGUAGCCUAACCGCAAGGAGGGCGCUUACCACGGUGGGAUUCGUGACUGGGGUGAAGUCGUAACAAGGUAACC
rnacentral:rRNA from 1 species